rnacentral:lncRNA from 1 species
UGCAAGCACGGCUUGGGGAGGGGUCUUUACUUGUUUAUUUAAUUUAAGAUUAACAUUUAUUUUAUUUAACAAGGAACUUAUCUACUUCAUCCGACUAGUUCCGGGUUCGAAUCCCGGGCAACCCACUAGCAUAUCGAAAUUCUAAUUCUCUGUAGAGAAGCCCGUAUUUUUCCAAUCAACUUCAUCGAAUCCCGGGCAACCCACUAGCAUAUCGAAAUUCUAAUUCUCUGUAAAGAAGUUCGCAUUGUUCUAAUCAACUUCAUUAAAAAUUUGAAUAGAUCUACAUACACCUUGGUUGACACGAGAAUGACGACAGCCAUGCACCACCUGUGUCCGCGUUCCCGAAGGCACCCCUCUCUUUCAAGAGGAUUCGCGGCAUGUCAUGCCCUGGUAAGGUUCUUCGCUUUGCAUCGAAUUAAACCACAUGCUCCACCGCUUAUGCGGGCCCCCGUCAAGCAUUUCGCCGAUUACUACGCCCUUCCUCGUCUCUGGGUGCCUAGGUAUCCACCGUAACCCUUUCCUCGUUUGAACCUCGCCAUUCACUUUUAAGG